GACUGACUAUUAUUUUAUUACUUUUUACAAAUACAUCGUUCAUUUGGAGCGAUGUUUACAUUAAUGUCCAUCUUUUUAAUUACCAUAAGCGUAUCUGUGGCGCCGAACAGACGGCAAGAUUAAAUAGUUAAAUUUUUAAGAAAAACUAGCCUCCCUUCAUUACCUUACCAACUAAUUUAAUAUAAAAGGGCUAGUAAAAUUAGCACAAACACUCUCUUUCCAUUUUAUCUCUCUCGCAUACUCUCACUUUCAUUUUCACUUAUUAUUCCCCCAUAAUCUUACACUUUCAUAUUAAAAGUUAAUAAUGUAAAAUUCACGUUACUUUUGUUAAUUUUAAUUAUAAGACUUAUAUAUAUUUGUCAAAAUAAUUAAUACAAGUUAUAGAAAUAAACUCAGUAUGUUGCCCCUCAUAUCUGUAUUUUUAUUUAUUUAAAUUAACUUAAAAUAUCGACAUCAACAAGGAACAUCACAAUUCACCAUCUAUCUACGAAUCCAUUUGGACAUCAAGUUAUAUGGUUAAGCCAAUGAUGGACGGGACGAGUAUUAUGGUCGACUUGCACUCAAGAUGAGACACCCAACAAUGAGAAAAUCACUAUAAAACUAGACACCUUGAGAGAAAUCGAGUACUUAGCAUUAAAAGAAUCACCUUAUACAGUUACCUUAUAUGUUCUAGAAGUAUAAUCUCUACAUAUUUUAAAAUACAGAGUGUAUCAUACUGUAAGCCUAACCACU